rnacentral:rRNA from 1 species
AUUGAACGCUGGCGGCAGGCCUAACACAUGCAAGUCGAGCGGGGUUUUCGGACCUAGCGGCGGACGGGUGAGUAAUGCGUAGGAAGCUGCCCGAUAGAGGGGGAUACCAGUUGGAAACGACUGUUAAUACCGCAUAAUGUCUACGGACCAAAGUGUGGGACCUUCGGGCCACAUGCUAUCGGAUACGCCUAUGUGGGAUUAGCUAGUUGGUGAGGUAAUGGCUCACCAAGGCGACGAUCUCUAGCUGGUUUGAGAGGAUGAUCAGCCACACUGGAACUGAGACACGGUCCAGACUCCUACGGGAGGCAGCAGUGGGGAAUAUUGGACAAUGGGCGCAAGCCUGAUCCAGCCAUGCCGCGUGUGUGAAGAAGGCCUUCGGGUUGUAAAGCACUUUCAGCGAGGAGGAAGGGGUGUGUGUUAAUAGUACACACCUUUGACGUUACUCGCAGAAUAAGCACCGGCUAACUCUGUGCCAGCCGCCGCGGUAACAC